GAUGAACGCUGGCGGCGUGCCUAACACAUGCAAGUCGAGCGGCAGCGAGGGGUGCUUGCACCCUGUCGGCGAGCGGGGACGGCUGAGUAACGCGUGGGAACGUGCCCCAAAGUGAGGAAUAACUGCCCGAAAGGGUAGCUAAUACCGCAUAUUAUCUUCGGAUCAAAGGAUUUAUCCGCUUUGGGAGCGGCUCGCGUCGGAUUAGGUAGUUGGUGAGGUAAUGGCUCACCAAGCCGACGAUCCGUAGCUGGUCUGAGAGGAUGACCAGCCAGACUGGAACUGAGACACGGUCCAGACUCCUACGGGAGGCAGCAGUGAGGAAUCUUCCACAAUGGGCGAAAGCCUGAUGGAGCAACGCCGCGUGCAGGACGAAGGCCUUCGGGUUGUAAACUGCUUUUAUAAGUGAGGAAUAUGACGGUAACUUAUGAAUAAGGAUCGGCUAACUACGUG
rnacentral:rRNA from 1 species